GAAGGCUCAUUUUCAGGUGGCAAUAAAGACUCACUCUCAGGGGGCAAAGAUGUCUCACUCUCGGAGGGCAAAGAUGUCUCGGAUGCAGGCAAAGAUGUCUCGGAUGCAGAGUCAUCUAACGACACAUUUGCAACACCCUCUGCGAUGCCACUGUUUUUGGUGCCCGGGGGUGGUGAGGUAGAGGCAGAGUCAUCCAACGACACAUUUGUGACACCCUCUGCAAUGCCACCGUUUUUGGUGCCCGUGGAUGGUGAGGUAGAUUCCGUCUCUUCAAUUGGUUGUUGUAGGCUCCAAUACAUGAUGCUGGCAGUUAGAGUGAGAAUCAUCUUCUGGUUCACCU
rnacentral:lncRNA from 1 species